rnacentral:rRNA from 1 species
AUUGAACGCUGGCGGCAGGCCUAACACAUGCAAGUCGAACGAGUGGCGGACGGGUGAGUAAUGUCUGGGAAACUGCCUGAUGGAGGGGGAUAACUACUGGAAACGGUAGCUAAUACCGCAUACCAUCGGAUGUGCCCAGAUGGGAUUAGCUAGUAGGUGGUGUAAAGGCUCACCUAGGCGACGCUCCCUAGCUGGUCUGAGAGGAUGACCAGGCAAAUGGGAACGGAGACACGGUCCAGACUCCGACGGGAGGCAGCAGUGGGGAAUAUUGCACAAGGGGCGCAAGCCUGAUGCAGCCAUGCCGCGUGUAUGAAGAAGGCCUUCGGGUUGUAAAGUACUUUCAGCGGGGAGGCGUUACCCGCAGAAGAAGCACCGGCUAACUCCGUGCCAGCAGCCGCGGUAAUUC